AGAACUGCAGAUAGUACAGCUUCCACAGGAGCAAGGGAUGUCUGAGCACAAGUGGCUGAGUUCCGAGUGACUUUAUGAAGCACUUUCUACCUUCCUCUCCGGCAUGAAAACAGGGAUUCUGCACCUGCAUCAUGGACAGUCUGGCAAAAGCCUCUGCUCUGCCUCCGGGGACAAGAAACUAGAGCAAAUAACCGUUUUGAAAUUGUAAGUAUACCUCCCCCACCGCCGCCCACUGUGUGCUGAGACACCUGAAGGCUAGACAUAAUGAUCAACAGAGCUCCAGCCUGUCUGGACUCCAGCCAGAUUUUUUUCCCCUUCUACAAUCAAGGAGCUUGCACGCAAUGCAUGCCGAGCCUAUUCCACUGCUAUGUGCAGAUCCGGGAUGGAAGUCUUACACAUACUGCGGAAAGAUUAAAGACAACAAUAUCCCCUUUCUCUUACCCUAGACAGCCUCAAUUUUUAACCCUUUCAUUACCUUUGAAACCAAGACGUCUUACCCAUUCAAAGGCAGGUCUCAAGGGACUUUGCAACUCCCGCACCACAUCAUACAGAUGCACAUGCCUCAUUUGGUGUAGAAAUCUCAUCUCAACAGAUCUUAUCAGAAUAUUUUAGGAACUAAUAGUGUGCUAACUAAACAUAAUGUAAUUUGUUUGUGUGGGGAAUGCAUGUUUGAAUGAACUUAUGCUGCAUGAAAUCUGGAACAAGUCAAAGGUCUGUCGAAAGAUUCUUGCAAACCUUGCAGAAGGUUAUAUACCAUUUCUGAUGAUGCUGUUCUUUAAGCAUCUUUCUCUCUCUCUCUCCUCACACACACACAUACAUACACACAUACUCGCUCUCUUUUCUCUUUCUCUAUCUCAAGAUGCACACACUCAACCAGGAAAUUAUAUCAUUAUAUCACAGAGAAAUCCAGGUUAGCUGGUGAUGUCAUCAUAUAUAAAAUUUUGCCUUUGUGGGCAACAUUUUCAAUCACCUAAUCGCUAAUGUAUGUUGGGUGUGUGCCCAUAGGAAGUUCACGUGCUCGUGGGGUUAACCGACACCCACAGGAAAGGACUAUUUUAUUCGCAGCUAUCUUUCUUUUGAAGAUGUGUUUAUGGGGCAGGAUGGGUAUGUUUAUCAAGAUAGAUGUAGUCAGAGUUUCCUGGUUCUAGGAAGCCUUAUUAAUAUGCUGUUUGAACAUUUGAAAGGUGGCUGAAUUUCAAUGAUAUAAAUAG
rnacentral:lncRNA from 1 species